GCUGAGUAGAUGGAAUGUCAACAAUUGAAACAGGGAGUACCAAAAGAGGAUAAAGAUUGAAUGGGAAAGAUAAUGAAGUUUGCUGAGAAUAAUGGUUUCCAGCUUCAUCCACGUCCCUACAAAGGCCAAAAUUCAGAAAUGGGAUCUAAUUAAACUAAAGAGCUUCUGCACAGCAAAAGAAACUACCAUCAGAGUGAACAGGCAACCUACAGAAUGGGAGAAAAUUUUUGCAAUCUACUCAUCUGACAAAGGGCUAAUAUCCAGAAUCUACAAAGAACUCAAACAAAUUUACAGGAAAAAAACAAACAACCCCAUCAACAAGUGGGCGAAGGAUAUGAACAGACACUUCUCAAAAGAAGACAUAUAUGCAGCCAAUAGACACAUGAAAAAAUGCUCAUCAUCACUGGCCAUCAGAGAAAUGCAAAUCAAAACCACAAUGAGAUACUAUCUCAUCUCUUUCAUACAUUUCCACUCCUGUACUAGAUGACCCAGGCCAUGUCAGUCAGCACACCAAAAUCUCCUGGACACUGAUGGAUUUAGUAGACUCCAACUAAAUUCAGAGUGAAUCCUUGAACUUGUGGGAGAAACAGAAAUACUGUCUUUUUUAUUGGACCUAAACCUUGAAGAAUAUGACCUUGAACUUCUCAAAUGAGCUGUAUGGAGCUUAAGAACAAAAGACAGAGAAGGCUGAUCUAAAAGAAGCAAGAAAUUAAAAGAAAACGAGGAAGUGAGAAGAGAAAAGAGAGAAGAGGAGAAAAACACAGAAAGAGAGAUAGAAAAGAUAGGAGAAGAGAUAGAAACAUAGAAAUCGGAAAAGGAAAAAAAUUAUUUUGAGAAAAUUCUUUUAAUUGAUCUAGUAGCUUUCAUAUAGAUUGUCAUAUUUAAUGUUUUCAUAAAAUUCCUGUGCAAAUACAUGGC
rnacentral:lncRNA from 1 species